rnacentral:rRNA from 1 species
UACGUAGGCGGAUUCGCAGGCAUCUUGUGAAAUCCCUCCGCUCAACGGAGGAACUGCAGGGUGAACCGCGUGUCUUGAGACAGGUAGGGGCUGUCGGAACGCUAGGUGGAGUGGUGAAAUGCGUUGAUGUCUAGCGGAACGCCGAAGGAGAAAUCAGGCAGCUGGGCCUGUUCUGACGCUGAGGUACGAAAGCGUGGGGAGCGAACAGGAUUAGAUACCCUGGUAGUCC